rnacentral:tRNA from 1 species
GGAGAGGUGGCCGAGAGGCCGAAGGCGCGCCCCUGCUAAGGGCGUAUGGGGAAACUCAUCGAGGGUUCGAAUCCCUCCCUCUCCGCCA